AAAUCACACGCGAUUGCCGUCUUCAUUCUGCUGCCUCUCUUUCUCUCUCUCUCCUGAUAUACAUGUAGGUAUCAUAUUCCUCGAUCUUUCCUGAAAAAAGAUACCAAAGCUACCAAUAUACUGGUUCUCUUCCAGGAGUCUGGUGGAAGUCCAUUUUUUAUAACUCUCCAAACAGUUACAGUAGGAAAAGUAAGUGGAAGAGGCAAUGAAGAGACACAAUAGAGCUUUCAUGCUAUGGAAAACCCAUUUGUGCAAUUCAGUUUGCUAGUUUUGGUGAUCCUCAAAGGUUUAGUAAUGGCUCCUUUGAGAAAGGCAGUUGUGAAUGUCUAAAGAUGGCUUGUCAAUUGCCAAAAAGGCAGAAGUUAGGAAGGAGACUUGUGCAAUUAAAGUUUCUGUAUAUGUAUUUGGGUCCACAAAUUGUGAGGAAGGUGCUGAGAAUAGUCUAGUUGUGGAGGCUUUGUGUUAACAAGAUGAAGUUUUUGUAGUUUGGGCUAAUUAAUUAGGUUGGUUUUUGUUAGGGAUUUAAAUUUUUGCAUAUAGAGAGAGAAGCAGAAGAGGGAGAUACAGCGCGCACAAAAGAGAGAUAGGCAGCAGAAUGAAGACGACAAUCGCGUAUGAUUUGGAGAUUUGUUUUCUUUUUUUUAAUUAAAAAUAAAUCAGUGUGUUUUAGAUUAA